UAUGGGGAUUUUUAUUUUCACUUUCAUAAGAAAAAGUACCUUGAAUACCUAGGGGGAAAUCAGGGACAAACUUUCCCACUUGAACUUUCGUCCUGUGCCUUGUCAGAGUGAGCUAGCGUUUACAGCACCGUCUCAACAGGAGCCGGUCUUUCCCCAGGCCAUAUACGCUUCGCAAGGCUGAAGCAUCUCCCAGCAGCUCUACUCGUUAAUAAUUAAUCAUUCAAGGCCUCUCAGCUUGAAUGCUGUAUAUAAACCUCUUACCUGUGUAUGGAGAGCAACUCACAGACUUGCUGUUGUUACCGGCUCCUGUCAUCUUCUUACUCCUUGCAAGCAAAGGAAACACACUUAUUCAAAGAGGACUCCCAAAGGGUUAGCUGCAGCAGCUCUUAGUCACACUGGGAAGAUGUUUUGCGAAGGUGCUCUAUGGGUUAUGGAAUACAUGGAAGAGGCGAAGGCUCAGAAGCCCUCCACGCGGCCCAUUGUGCUCCUGAACAUGGUAGCCGACAACGCUGUCUCUGGUGCAGCGGCCAUCUUUAGUCCAGUGGGGAGCAGCUCGAACACAUCCCGAAACAAGUGGAUGGCAAGGAAGGAGAACCAGACAUCCGAAGCCUGGAGUGCUGGCAAACUACCUAGACUUCCUUCUCUACAGGAACAGGCAUGGAGGAAGACUUGACAUAUUGCAUUACAUUUCAUGACAUUACAUUUGCAUUUAGUCAUUCAGGAGAUAUUUUCUCAUAUUUUCUCUAAAAAAAAGUUAAAAUUACUCUGCUGGGAGAGUUCUAGUGAUCAGUUUGCUCUUCACUAUUUUCUGGAAACUGAACUACACUUGGAGCUAGGUAUGAAAGGCCUCUUUUCCUUCCAGAGAUGCGAUGGAUCUGAAACUUUGGCCAAGGAACCAGUGCACUGCUUUGGAACCUUUCAAUAAUCACAGAUCGUCAAUGAAAUUCAACCAGACAAACAAUUUCUUAUUUAUUCUUUUUUUUUAUUCCUAUCUAAAACAAGAGUGAGUCAAAUUAACACAAAUUCAGUAAAAGUGUAGUUCACACUAUGCAUGGCCAGUACAUGUGGACAUUAAACUAGCAUAUUGAGCCAUCCCAGAAUACUCACUGGAAAGCAGGUACUGUUUCUAAUGAAUGUUCAUGUCUCAUCCAUAGUCUACUUCUUGACAACCUGGAAUAGGAUGUCAGUAUUUUGACACAGGUCUCUACCAAACUCUCAUCUUUGUGAAUAUUGUCUGUUAACAUUUUUUAUUUUAUUUAUUGUCCUUGCUACUUAUUUUUUGUUUUUAAUGUAAGUUAAGUAUCAGACUAUAGUUGUAUUUUCUUGUUUAGUGUUUUUGCCUAAACUGUGCCUUUACUGUGGGUCUUAUAUUCUCGAAGGGAUUAUUUUAAUUGUUAUGGCAUCUAUGUCAUGAAUUUCACUUUUAUGAGCCCAUGUUGGGGAAGUCAUGUCUUAAGGACAUUUUGUGUGUGUAUGGGGGUGGGGGCAGAUCACAGUUCACUGAUAACAUAUACUGUACGACACAUGUUCCUUGGACAUCUCAUUAAAAAUGUACUGCACACAGUGUCACGAAACAGUCACUGUCACAAUCUUCUUUACAUACAGAACAGUUCAAAAGGUCAGAGCAUGUGACUUGGCAGGUGUUAUAUACGCUCAUGUCAUGUAAGCUGUUUUACAUUCAGUUUGUAAAUAAAGUGGAGUUCUCUGGUA